rnacentral:misc_RNA from 1 species
AUCUAAAGCUGUUGCCCGUGGACCGGUUUGUCUGUUUCUCUCAGCGCGUGUAGGCAGAAAAGUUCGAUCCAUCGAUCGACGCUCUCGUGGCCAUGGAAUGUGCUUUAAUACACUUACAAGUAUGAUCGUACGUGUGGUACAUGCAUAUAUAGAUUUUCGAAAGUCCUGUCUAAACGAAAGCGGUCAGCCGGUGUCUUUAUCGGGCGAAAUGCCGGUGCCGGUUUGGGACUGCUCUGACCUGGGCCUGUUAGGCGAGCCCC